UCUUCACCUCCCAUGCUGACCUGUCCGGCAUCAGCAACCACUCAAACAUCCAGGUGUCUGAUAUGGUGCACAAAGCUGUGGUGGAGGUGGAUGAGUCUGGGACCAGAGCGGCAGCAGCCACGGGGACAAUCUUCAUGUUCAGGUCGGCCCACCUGGGCUCUCAGAAGCUAGUGUUCAACAGGCCCUUUCUGAUGGUCAUUGUGGAGAGCAAUAUCCUCUUCCUUGGCAAAGUGAACCGCCCCUGAGGUGGGGCUUCUCCUGAAAUCUACAGGCCUCGGGUGGGAGAUGAAGGUGGGUGUGCUAUGGCCCAUCCGUAUGCUGGUAGCUAAUGAUUUACACUGGUUUAGUUGACUAAUGAGGCAUUACAAACAAUAAAAUUACUAAAUAAUGA